UACGUAGGUCCCGAGCGUUGUCCGGAUUUAUUGGGCGUAAAGCGAGCGCAGGUGGUUUAUUAAGUCUGGUGUAAAAGGCAGUAGCUCAACCAUUGUAUGCAUUGGAAACUGGUAGACUUGAGUGCAGGAGAGGAGAGUGGAAUUCCAUGUGUAGCGGUGAAAUGCGUAGAUAUAUGGAGGAACACCGGUGGCGGAAGCGGCUCUCUGGCCUGUAACUGACACUGAGGCUCGAAAGCGUGGGGAGCAAAUAGG
rnacentral:rRNA from 1 species